rnacentral:rRNA from 1 species
CCUAACACAUGCAAGUCGAACGGUAACAGGAAGAAGCUUGCUUCUUUGCUGACGAGUGGCGGACGGGUGAGUAAUGUCUGGGAAACUGCCUGAUGGAGGGGGAUAACUACUGGAAACGGUAGCUAAUACCGCAUAACGUCGCAAGACCAAAGAGGGGGACCUUCGGGCCUCUUGCCAUCGGAUGUGCCCAGAUGGGAUUAGCUAGUAGGUGGGGUAACGGCUCACCUAGGCGACGAUCCCUAGCUGGUCUGAGAGGAUGACCAGCCACACUGGAACUGAGACACGGUCCAGACUCCUACGGGAGGCAGCAGUGGGGAAUAUUGCACAAUGGGCGCAAGCCUGAUGCAGCCAUGCCGCGUGUAUGAAGAAGGCCUUCGGGUUGUAAAGACUUUCAGC